rnacentral:lncRNA from 1 species
GACAACCAGCCCUCCAAGCCAGGACUGCUUCUGACUAGUUUUUGAGAAAAAGUCUUGGUCUCGGGUUCACUCAGAGAGGACAGCCAUGCCCAACUUAUUCUAUUAGGAAACUGGGGUGUGAAGAGGUUGAGGGAUUUACCCAAGGUCAUUCAACUGUUAAAUGGCAAAAUCAGAAAUUAAUCCAAGUGUGGAUGAAACAAAUAACAUUUUGAAAGAUUGAGAAGGGAGAAACAGCCUUCCCCUGUGGAGGAAAGAUCAUCACUAUGGGCUCUGAAGCAGGGCAUCCCAGACAACAUAUGGAGAAAAUGGAAUGGUUUAUCUUGCCAGGAGCCUGCAUUGGAAAAGGAUGUUCAAAUCAGCAAAUAUUUCCGAGCCAUGUGGACAAACAAACCCCUGAGAAUCUUUCAUAACUUAGAUUUCUCAUUUAACAUCAUACCAUAAGUAAACUGCAUGACUAAGGUGAAGUAUAGACGGCCUUCCAUUGCUUCGUUCCAGCUCUCUGAGCUUCCAGCGGAACAAGCACCGAACAGAUGCCAAAGACAGCUUGGAAACUUCCAAAAGGGUUUGAACAGCAGUUACUAUUAGUCCUUUAUCUGAGGCAUCCAGCGUUGGCAUCAGAAGCAGCCAUUGUGCUUGCCAAGGGGCUCAGGUGGCAUUCUGCAGGGACUACUUACUUGUAACACCAUGCAGUGGUUUGUAUUCCCCUCAAAAUCCAAGACAAAAAUAGAGACGAAGAAUAUGGAGAAAAUUGGAAGAAAAAAAUUGUUUCAAAGAAAUGUUGUCUUUUAAUAGUUUACGACAAAGUUCACACUCAAGACUGAGCAUUGGUCAAAAAGAUUCUAGCAAAAUUUUGUGCAACUUCCCACCUUCUUCUAAUAUGUCUGGCUGAACAUUUCCUCUGCCUUAAAAAAAGUGAGGGUGAUGGAAUGUCCGGUAAAACCAUGACUUUUAAGUCCCCAGCCAUCUUCAGAGUCACAGCUCCCUCCUUACUCUGAGCCCUCUGAGCCCUGACCUCUGCGGGACCUUCACUCUUGCUUGUUUUGGCCUCUAUCUGCUCUGCUGCAGUCCUACUGAUUUUUCUUACCCUCCAUCCUCUCGUCUAAACUGUCUUCCCCAACUGUAUUUCAGGCCAACAUUUAAUUUUUCCCCUGGUUACACUUUUCAUAAACACUUCAAUUUUAGCCCUUAUUCUAAAGUAUGGCUUGCAGUCAAGCUGUGAAAGACAGAAAAACAACCACUUUGUAUACCUCAAUUUUAACACCCAUAAUAAUGCAUUCUGAUUAUCUUUUGUGUGUCAGUUUUACCAACUAGAUUUUGAGCUCUCCAAAAGCUGGUACCAGGUCCCAUUUAUCACUAUUCUCCUAAUCCUGGCGCAGAAUCUGACACACAGCUGAUAAUGAAUCAAAAGAAGUUAAAUAAAUGAAAAGUGAGGGUCCUUCAUCUGUAUAAAAAAAAAAAAAGAUGUUUCUAUACUUAACAGAGUCCCCCGUAUUUGGGGAAAAGUUUUAUUUUCUCUAUUUCUUAGCAUAAUGUGGGCUGUGGGGUCAGAUCUGGGGUCAAAUCCUAACUCCUUCCCUUUGUACUUGUCUUACUUUUACAAGUUAAUGAAGCAUUGUAAAAUAUGAACAUUAAUAACGAGCACCUUGUGGAGUUCUUACUGGAAACAAAUAAGAUAAUGAAUGUAAAGGCCUCAUCCUAGUGCCUAGUGUAAACUGAACUCAAUUAAUAUUAGUUAUUAACAUAAUUGUUAUAAUUAAUACUCAGGUAAGUCUCUUAAUUCUCUCUAAGUUGUAUUGGGCUCAGAGGUCUUUGGGUUAUUGUUUUCUCUCUUCCUCCACCUAGAGUGAAAAAACCUGACCCUUUAAAAAUACAAAUUGUUUCCCCUUUUAGAC